rnacentral:rRNA from 1 species
GAUGAACGCUGGCGGCGUGCUUAACACAUGCAAGUCGAACGGGAAAUAUUUCAUUGAGACUUCGGUGGAUUUGAUCUAUUUCUAGUGGCGGACGGGUGAGUAACGCGUGGGUAACCUGCCUUAUACAGGGGGAUAACAGUCAGAAAUGGCUGCUAAUACCGCAUAAGCGCACAGAGCUGCAUGGCUCAGUGUGAAAAACUCCGGUGGUAUAAGAUGGACCCGCGUUGGAUUAGCUGGUUGGUGGGGUAACGGCCCACCAAGGCGACGAUCCAUAGCCGGCCUGAGAGGGUGAACGGCCACAUUGGGACUGAGACACGGCCCAGACUCCUACGGGAGGCAGCAGUGGGGAAUAUUGCACAAUGGGGGAAACCCUGAUGCAGCGACGCCGCGUGAAGGAAGAAGUAUCUCGGUAUGUAAACUUCUAUCAGCAGGGAAGAUAGUGACGGUACCUGACUAAGAAGCCCCGG